UUAGAAAGAGAUGAUCCAGAUGACUCAAGAAAGUUACAGCUGCUGAUACAGCACUGCACUGGAAAGGCGAGUGAGGCUAUCGAGAGCUAUGUAAACCUAGCAGCUAGUGAUGGGUACCGGGUAGCAAAGGAGACUCUUCAUGAGCAUUUUGGGAAGCCUCAUGUUAUUGCCAUGGCUCAUAUCAAGAAACUAGUGGACUUACCUAGCCUUAAGUCUGGAGAUGUUCAGUCAUUGUUGGAAUUCUCGAGGCAUUUAAAUAAAGCCGAAAGGACCCUAAAGGGAAUGGGUGCGUCGUAUACAUCAGAUUUAAAUCAUAUGAAUACGUUGAGAGAGCUAGCGAAGAAACUUCCCAUGUAUCUCAGAGCUGGGUGGACUGAAAAGGCUGGGAGUAUCAUCGAAGAGGGUAGAAAACCAGAGUUUGGAGACUUUCAGAAGUUUGUCCAGCAAAGAGCGAAGUUGGUAAACAAUGAAUUUGGAACGGACAUGGCGGUUAGUACGAGAACAAAGGCUAAUAGAAACGUGGGGAUCUGGAAACGAAGGGAAGAAAACAAAAAUAAUGGAAUAUCGUCAUUUGCAGCUGGAUCGAAAGGCGACCAAGUGAAUAGAGGUGGACAACCAUUGAGUUGCGAAGCUUGUUCUGGGCCACAUCGUGUAUGGAGAUGUGAUACGUUCAAGAAAAUGGAGUUGAAUGAAAGGCAAAGAAUAGUUCUGCAAAGAGGAGCCAAGAACUGUUCCAAGACCAAUUUUAAGUGCAGAAUUGCUGAAUGUGGUGCUAAGCAUCACACACUGUUGCAUCAUACGAAGGGUUCAGGGACGGAGCGAGAUAAAAUGAAACAGAAGGAGGUGAAAUCAGGAACUAAGAACGAAGAUGGGGCCGGAGACAGUGUGCAACAAGUAAACGGAGAACCUAAUGGCUCAGUUGCAGCAACUAGAGCUGGGGAGAAAAGAGUAUGCCUCGGAGUGGUUCUAGUGCGUGUUCGGGGUCACAAUAGUAGUCAUGAAGUGGAAACGUACGCGUUGUUAGACAACGGAUCAGAGGUGACUUUGUGUCAUGAGCGAUUAAUGGAAACCCUAGGACUGGACGGUGACAAAUUGAAAUUUACCUUAACGGGAAUAAAUGGAACAACUGAGGUGGAAAGCCAAAGCAUAAAUAUUGUUGUUGAGUCGCUUGAUGGUAGUACUGCUGUUGAGUUAUCGAAAGUGAAAACGGUGAAACAAAUGCCAGUGUCAAAGGGCUGCAUACCGAAGAAGAUUGACUUGGAAAGAUGGCCGCAUCUAAAGGAUAUUGAAAUCCCCGAGUUAGUUGAUGGGGGAAGUAUUACUAUUGAUUGAUUUAAAAGAGAGACCACGUUUAUUCCUACCUUUGGAAGUUCGAGAAGGCGGUGACGAAGAACCAAUUGCCAUUCAAUAUAGCUUGGGAUGGACAGUAAUGGGUCCUGUUGGUGGAGCUAAAGAAACGCGCAAUUGUCUUGUGAAUUUUGCAUGAACGAAGAAUGUCAAUAGUGGUCUCGGAAUGAACAAUGACUUUGGCACCAAGGAAAAUCUUUCGGGCAAUGUCACCAUUAAAGAUAUAGAUAAAGGAGAAGAUGAGUACAAUAAAUUUGGGCUAGAAAACUGCAUGUUCGUUGAUCAAAGAGUAACAAAUGAAGAUGAUCUGCUAGGGCGCCAGCUAGAGCAUCUUUGGAACACGGACUUCAACGAGUCUACAGUACGAAGUAACGAAUCAAAUCUAUCGGUUGAAGAUAAGAGAGCCGUAGAAAUAAUGGAGAAAACGUUGAAAAGGAAGGAUGGUCAUUUCCAGGUAGCACUUCCGUGGCGAAAGAAACCCGUGGUGAUCCCAAAUAAUAGACCAAUGGCUGAGAAACGUCUUCAUUCGUUAAAACGUCGAUUGCAGAAGAAUAGUGAGUUAUUCGUCAAGUAUAAGGACGCUAUGCAAGAUUAUAUUGAUAAGGGGCACGCCGAAAGGGUACUAGAAGAAGAGCUGGAAGUAAACAAUGGCAAAGUAUGGUACUUACCUCACCAACCAGUCACGCAUCGCCUGAAACCAGAGAAAGUAAGGGUUGUAUUUGACUGUGCUGCAAAGUAUAAAGACCAAUCUCUGAAUAUGCAGUUAUUACAAGGUCCUGACUUAACAAAUAAUGAAAACUUUAUUAAAUGGAUAUUUAGCUUAUAUAUACAAUUGAAAAUCUCACUUAUAUCAGGUAAUUUACAACUGGCUACUUAAAUCACUGAUUACAUAUGCAAAAAUUAUACUAUUAAGAUAACAAAAUGACAGUACAACGUUUAAACACUUAACAGUUCCGGAUUCAUCCAUUCCUUGUUUCGACAACAAAAUAUAUAAUACGUUGUUCUGAUUGCAAUCGUCGUCAUUCUUCUAAUACAGGAAUUCUGAUGUUGCUUUUGAAAACCAAAAUCAUUAAGCAUUUCUAUGAAAGUAGAACAUUCUUUACUGAAAACACCAAG